UCAGGAGCUUGCAGCACCCCACCCUCAGGGACUGACCGGGGUGGCUGCGAGGGGAAUUCCUGGUGAACUUUUCCUUGUCUUAUGCAAGCUCAGAAAGAAGUGCGGCAAGUGUGGGUGGAGCCGAGACAGGGGAAGGAGAUUUUUACUCACCUUGUGCCCCUCCCCUUCCCCAUCCAACCUGCUGUCUUCUCUGAACAGCUAUCCCUCGCUGAGCCAAGGCCCCAAAUUCGUCAUGAUGAGGACUUGUUGCAGUCCCAGAGUUGGUGAUAAUAUCCACCUCCAGGGCCAGGGAGGAGGCUGGGCAUCCCACCUCCCCCCCCUUCCCUGGCUGAUGUUAGAGUGUUGCUUUGCCAUUGUCGGGUCAGGCCUCAGCCCCACUGCCACUCUGCCUCUGACGAGGAUUGGGUUGGGGUCCUGCAUCUGCUCUGAGAGGAUCUCUGUCCCCAGCACUCUCUCUGCCUUUGGGCCUUGUGUCCUUUCUUGGUCCUGGGAGAGAACCCAGGCCAUGUUGCCCAAAGACUCCCUUGCCCUGGCAUCCCACACACUCCAGGGGAACUGUUGGGGACUGACAGAAGCCCCCACAAGGUUGACUAUGGACCCCAAUGGGCCUGUCCCACCCGUGGACCACUUUCACCCCAUCCAGAAAAUCUCAGCACUGAUUUUACUUAAGGAAUCUCUAAUAAGCUUUCACUGAAUCAGUAAUCCAUCCUCAGGGCUCUGCUGAGCUCCCAGCUGUGUAAUGAAGCCUUCCCUGUCCACCCCAACUUGGUCUCCUCUUCUCCCUCCCCAUCAUGCACUCACACUGUGCGUCCCCCUCCACCCCACCUCACCCCGGUCGUACUCUCACCAGGCCCUGCACCAGAGGCCGAGGGGGCAGCAUGUAAUGCGGUGCCCUCUAUCCUCAGUGCAAUCAAGAUGUAGACAGACACAGAAACUGCCUUUGCCUUCUUCCCUGGGAGAUUCAAAGAAAAUGCUCAGGGCAGGAGGAGAAAACACUGCACCGACCUGAGUUAGGAGGUAGAAGGACCUCCAGGUAGCAUCUGAAAAAUGACUUCCUGAAACACAGGUUUGAAUGGUGCAUGUUGGUGGGAAAGACUCUCUGUCAGAAUAGACAAAGACCUGGAAACAGGACAUGGUGAAUGGACGUGCAGGGAGCUGCCAAGAGCUGGCCCCACCAAAGUCGGUCCCAACCAGGCCAGAUCCUUCAAGGUGGCACCCCGGGCACCUGGGCUUCCCUCCUCCAGGCUCUAUUGGCUUUGGCAGCUUUCUGCCUGGGCCUCCAUGGGCAGUGAUUUGGGGAGGCUGCAGGAAGAAGGAGCAGCAAUGUAAGGGCUUGUUGUUAAAACCAAAAGCCAGCCACCCCAGCCCAGAUUUUCCAUGCACAGAUAGCCCAUCAACUUUCACCGCUGUCAACACCAAGACGCCCUCUGUGACCUCCAUUUCCUGAGGGACUCUGGAAAAUACUGCCUGCCUGAGAGGUGCCAUCUGGCUACCCCAUUUUCUGAACACUCAUAAAAAGGUUGAGGGAAGACUCAACUGUUAGAAGUGGGGGUGAAGGUGUUAGGACUGAAGAAAGAAGAGAGGCGUGCCCAUCG
rnacentral:lncRNA from 1 species